rnacentral:rRNA from 1 species
UACGGAAGGCAGCAGUGGGGAAUAUUGGACAAUGGGCGAAAGCCUGAUCCAGCCAUGCCGCAUGAGUGAAGAAGGCCUUCGGGUUGUAAAGCUCUUUUAGUGAGAAAGAUAAUGACGGUACUCACAGAAGAAGUCCUGGCUAACUCCGUGCCAGCAGCCGCGGUAAUACGGAGAGGGCUAGCGUUAUUCGGAAUUAUUGGGCGUAAAGAGCACGUAGGUGGUUUUUUAAAGUCAGAUGUGAAAUCCCUGGGCUUAACCUAGGAACUGCAUUUUGAAACUGAAAUACUAGAGUAUCGUAGAGGGAGGUAGAAUUCUAGGUGUAGCGGUGAAAUGCGUAGAUAUCUGGAGGAAUACCUGUGGCGAAAGCGGCCUCCUAAACGAAUACUGACACUGAGGGUGCGAAAGCGUGGGGAGCAAACGAGGAUUAGAUACC